UGCCAGCCGCCGCGGUAAUACGGAGGGUGCGAGCGUUGCUCGGAAUCACUGGGCGUAAAGGGUACGCAGGCGGCUUUGUAAGUCGGGUGUGAAAGCCCAGGGCUCAACCCUGGAACUGCGCCCGAUACUGCAGGGCUUGAGUACGGGAGAGGGAUAGCGGAAUUCCUGGUGUAGAGGUGAAAUUCGUAGAUAUCAGGAGGAACACCAGUGGCGAAAGCGGCUUCCUGGCCCGAUACUGACGCUGAGGAGCGAAAGCGUGGGGAGCAAACAGGAUUAGAUA
rnacentral:rRNA from 1 species